rnacentral:lncRNA from 1 species
AGCAGGCUCUCAUGUGGAGGUGGGGAAGUUUGGUCCAUCAGAAUGAUCACCAAGAAACACAAAGCAGACCUGGGCCCUGGGCUCCCAGAGAAGAAAAAGAAGAAGAAAGUGGUCAAAGAACCAGAGACUCAAUACUCAAUUUUAAACAAUGAUGAUUACUUUGCCAAUGUUUCUCCUAUAAGAGCCACAUCCCCCUCUAAGAGUGUGGUCCAUGGGAAGGCACCUGAGAUGCCUCUAGUGAAGAAAACAAGUAAAAGAAGGGUGUCAGCACCCUUUGUGAGGAGCACGUAGAACCUGACACCACGCUGCGUGCCAGACGGUCAGAGAAGUCACCCAAUCCCAGGAAGCAGGUGCUUGGCCAUUUGGAGUUCCUCUGUGGGGAGAAGAAAAAGAAGAAGUCACCUCCAGCCAUGUCCCAUGCCUCUGGGGUGAAAACCUCCCCAGACCCCAGACAGGGUGAAGAGGAAACCAGAGUUGGCAAGAAGCUCAAAUAACACAAGAAGGAAACAAAGGGGGCCCAGGACCCCACAGCCCUCUCAGUCCAGAACCCUUGGUUCUGCGAGGCUGGGGAUGCUGCGGACACUUGCUCAGUGGGGAAGAAGGGUGAGGAACAGGCAGCCUUGGGGCAGAUAACGGAAGCAGAAGAGCCCCAGGGAGCACAGUGGGAAGGUGAAGAAGAAGAAAACAAAAAUCCACCAGGAGGGAGAUGCCCUCCCAGGCCACUCCAAGCCCUUCAGGUCCAUGGAGAGCAGCCCUAGGAAAGGAAGUAAAACGAAGCCAAAGUUGAGGCUCCGGAAUACAUCCAUCCCCAAAGGAGAUGGCCCUAAGGCCCCCGAGAAGAAAAAGAUGAAGUCCAAGAAGGUAGAGCAGCCAAUCAUUGAGGAGCCGGCUCUGAAAAGGAAGAAAAAGAACAAGAGGAAAGAGAGUGGGGCAGCAAGAGACCCUUGGAAGGAGGAAACAGAGACGGACUUAGAGGUGGUGUUGGAAAAGAAAGGCAACAUGGACGAGGCGCACAUAGACCAGGUGAGGCGAAAGGCCUUGCAAGGAGAGAUCGAUCGAGAGUCAGGCAAAACGGAAGCUUGUGAAACCAGGAAGUGGACGGGAACCUAGUUUGGCCAGUGGGAUACUGCUGGUUUUGACAACGAGGAACAGAAACUGAAGUUUCUCAAACUUACUGGUGGCUUCAAAAACCUGUCCCCUUCGUUCAGCCGCCACCCCCUCCAAGCCCCGCAGCACGAUUGCAAGGUCCAACAUAGCCCUCAGCAAGAAGGCGGCCGACAGCCUGCAGCAGAACCUGCAGCAGAACCUGCAGCAGGACUGUGACCGGGCCAUGAGCUGGAAGUACAGCCGCGGAGCCCGUCUCUGCUUCUCCACCGCCCCCAACAAGAUCUUUUAUAUUCAUAGGAACGCUUCCAAGUUAGCCAAGCUGGAAGAUUAA